AGAUGGGGGGACCACUGUCAGGGUGGGGGGGUAACUCACCCGGUAGGGGGCAGAGAGGGCUCUGUGGGUGCACCUGUGACUCGAUAGUGAUGACACCCUCGCGCUCUGGGCCCCAGCCUUCCUGGCUCUGGGCCCGCACGCGGAACACGUAGGAGUGGUUGGGCAGGAGGUCUUCCAGCACCACCGAAGUCUGGCUGGGGUUGGGGAUGUUAAGCUGAUGCAGGUCACCUGGGUGGGGAUGGAGGCAGGUAGCAGAGCAGCAGCAUUCCUCAUUCCUAUCCCCGGCCUGAUCCCACCCCUUCCCUAGGCUACUGUCAAGACCUAGCCACAAGCCACCCAGCAUUAGCUGUGGCUGGGGUACCGGUGGGGUCAGCCUUGUAUAGUAUGGUUGGCUGUUCAGGUUGUACGCUAUACAAGGGAUGAGUGGCACCUGAAAUCCCAUCUGUGUAUGUUGGCCGUUUAUGGGCCCAGGGCAUGCUGCCGCGAGUGUGUCUGCCCACGGAAGUACCACUUCCCGACUCCUGAAAAGACAUCUCAUAGGCCAGCAGAGGCCCUGGGUCCCUAGGCCGGUGAGGCCUUGUUAGGUAGAACCUAGCAGUGGGAAUGAUUUGGAGAGAGGCCUAAGGAGGUGGAUGAGGACUCAUCAGAAGAGGCAGUGGGAGUCUUAGAAGAGUGAGACUCUCUCAGAAAGGUGGGUGGUGGGGGAAGCAUUAGUGUUCAAGGGACUUGGGUGGCUUCCUGACAGUCGGGUGUCCCCGCGUGUCAGCCCGACAGCAGCCGUGCCUCACCGCCAUUCAGCAGCUGGUACUCCACGCUGUAGCCCUGCAGCGCCCGCUCACACUGCGGCUCCUGCCAGCUUACUUUCAGAGACGUGGGUCCCAGGGCUGAGAACACCAGGCGGGUGGGUGUGUUGGGCACACCUGCAGCCAAGCGGGAGCCUGGAGACAGGAGGCCACAGUCAGCCGGUGUCGGGGGUGUCUGGGCAGGAGUCCUAGUUCUAGCCCUGACCGCCCUCGGCUCUGGCGCCUGCAUGGACCGCUGGCCAGGUGGCCCACUCACCCUGCAAUACCCUGUCCAGGCCACUCAGCACCUCCUGAAUGUCCUGUGCAGGACGUGGGUGCGGGCCCUGCCUGUGCCGAGAAGGGGUGAGCUCGUGAGUCAGCCGGCCCCCACCCUCCUCAGCGGGCCUGGCCCCUCUCCUGCCCCAGCCCAGCACCCCCAGAGGACAGAAGCUGCGUUAGGCACCAGCGCUGAUGUGGAUGGAAUGGACGAUCAGAAAACAGGCACAGAGAGGGUGAUUCAUCUGAAUUCCUGCAGCGGAGCCAGAGCUAAAACUGAGUCCCCAAGAGUCCCGGUCGAGGGCUCUUUGCGUCACACUGUACACGGCCAGCGUGGGGAGACACUGCUCUGUGGGCCCCAGAGCCCGGCCUGCCUCCUCCCACAUAGCCCUGUCCCUGGGAGGUGGCCCGAUUCCAUGGCACUGCUGGUGAGCCCUCCAGUCUCCAAACUGUGAUUCCAGUCCCAUGUGCACGAGCCUGUGUGCAUGUACCCCAAGCACAUGGCUUUCUGCCUGUCCUCACAGACGUGCACACUAUUCACUGGGGCCACGUCGGCUCUGUCCCCCCUGUACCCAGAGCCAGUGUGGUGCCUGCCGAACCGUCGGCUUUGCAGAUGCUCGCCUGGGGCUGAGAGGGGACUUCUGGUGUGACCGUCACGCCCAGUGCUCACUGGCCCCUUGGCUCUCUCUGGACACCAGUGACGGCCCAACCCUCUACCCAGGACCCCCACCUUCCGUGCAGGCAUCCCAGGCCCACUCACCAGUGUCCUCAGAGACGCUCGGCCUCUGGCUGCCCGUCGGGGAGCGGAGCACGUCAUCGCUGUACAUGAGGAAGCUUUCGUAGUCUUCCCCACCCUGGGCGUCCACGAUGGGGAUGUCCGGGAUGAUGGGGACUGCAGGGGGGAAGCGGGUGAGCCAGGGCCCCAGCCUCGGCCUCCUGCCCGCCCCUGUCUGCCCUGUGCCUCCCACCCGCCACUCACUGGACAUGGGCCGCUUGGGCUGGGUGGCCAGGUUGAUGAUGGCCUCCCGCUCAGGCCCCCAGCCUGCGCCAUUGCGAGCCUUGACCGUGUAGCGGUACGGCUGGGACUCCCGCAGGUUCUCGAUGAGCAGCGUCCGCUUCUUGGGGCUGUCCACCAGCACCUUCUUCAUGGGCCCGAUGGGUCCUGGGACAGGGAGAGUGCUUCAGAGGGGUCACCAGCUUCUGGCCUGCUGCAUCCCUGCCUCUGGUGCACCAGGACUGUUGCACAGCCCCUGAACUGCACCCAGGAGUUUGGGGAACGAGUCAGGGAACGAGCAACUGUUGAAACCCAGCUGCGUGCCAAGCCCUGAGAACCUGGGUGUGACUGGCUUAGAGAAGCCUCCACGCGGCUCAUCGCCAAGUUAAGUGGCAGAGACAGACUACACUCAAGUCGGCCCCACUGUCACCUCUACCAAUUGGUAAAGGGUCCUGCGUCCAUGUGCGUCUGCGUGACGCUGGCUCCAGAGGCUUGGGCGCCCUCAGCACCUGUGCCUCCCUGUCCACAACCAAACCGCAAAUGCACGGCUGCCCUGGUCACCUGGGCAGGGACGGGAGGAGAGAGGCAGGCCUGAACCUGCACCUGAGGACAGGCUGAGGCCUGUGAGAGCUAAGGGCGAGAGCAGAGGGGAAGCAGCUCUCCUCCACCACACCUGGAAGGGUGGACGCAAGCCCUGGGAGAGAGAAGGAAGAGACCCCAGGCUGCUCUAAGCAAGGUACGGUGCCUAGACCCCCAUGUGACAAGAUGGGGCCCUCUAUGCUGGAAGACGUCUGGGAGACCAGAAAAUGUCCCAGUUCCCAAGGGGUCCAAAGGAGGGCUCUAGAAAAACAACACCUGCUAAGCUUCAUGCUGUUUCUUUGCCCCACCGUGUGGCCUGUGGGAUCUUAAUUCCCGAACCAGGGAUCGAACUUGUGCCCCCUGCAGUGGAAGCAUGGAUUCUUAACCACUGGACCACCAGGGAAGUCCCUUGAUGCUGUUUGGGGGAGAAGGGAAGGGGGCCACCCCGAAGUCGCUGAUGCCCUCGGGCCUGCCUCGCACGUUCGUGACACAGCGGAGGCCUCAGCAGGCUAAGGCCGUGGGCUGAAACCAUCAGUCAUUCCUGGGAUUAAAGGCUGGGUCGGAAAACACUUCCUGACAGUGGUCCAUGGGUGGACCAGGUGUUGUAAACUCAGAAUGAGCCAAGGAUGUGAUGCAGCUGCUGACAAGGCUGUGCUUGGUCAGCCAGGCUAGUAAAGGGCAAGGAGCCUGAGACCCAGAGCAAUCCUGCUGCCCUCGGCCCUGUUGGGCCACCCUGGCGGUGGUAAGCCU